rnacentral:tRNA from 1 species
GUCUUUAUAGUGUAGCGGCAUAUUUCAUUUUCGUUGAAAAGGCGGAGCCCCUAAAGAUG